GGUUUUGACACUUUCUACGUAGCCAUUUCACCGCCAACCUCUGCCAAAUAUUGGAGUAAAAUUGUGGGGGGUUUUUUGUUUGUUUUUUUGGGGGGUUUUUUGGCACACAAACGUAUAACAAAGAACUUCUCAUGUUUAUUUUGUAAAGUUGGUGUGUGCUAUUCCUGUACAAAGUUUUAUUUUGUGUUCAAUUACAUUUGCUGAGUAAAAUGAAAGCCCCAUUGUAUGUCUUUGGCACUAUUUCGUGAAGUUACAGUGCCAUUUAGGAGACCUGUCCUUUUCAGUAUUCACAGUAGAAUUUUCAGAGACAGUUUUAAUGAGCCUAUGCUUCCAUUUGGGGUAUUAUAACAGUUUGACUGUUCAAAAAAAACUCACAAAGGCCUACCAUUUGUAAAUUAGACACUCCAGGGUAUCUCUUAAGGUGCAUAUUAGGCCUUAACAUGCCCCCAUUUUUUUCACCAAUAUAUGCCAAAGUAUGUGGUUAAAAAAAAUAAUUGUGCGUUUUUUACAUAUGGAUUGCAUUUUUGCUGGGCAUUUUGUAUAUUUCACAUGUGCCACUAAGUUCAAACCCCCCAAAUUAUGCUCAACUAAGUCUUCUGAGUAAAAUGACACCCCAUAUGAAUGUCUUUGGCACUAUUGCGUGAAGCUACAGUGCCAUAUAGGAGAUCUAUCCAUUUCAGUAUUUACAGUACAAUUUUGAGAGAUGGAUUUAAUUGGCCUAUGCUUUUGGGGCAUUAUUGCAGUUGGAAAGUUAAAAAAAACCCUACAAAGGCCUACCAUUUCUUAAAGUAGACACC